CCUCCCCGCCCCGCCUCCCGCCUCCCGCCCCAUUCCUUUCCCUCCUUCACUCCUCCCUCUCCCCCAAGUCUCGGGUGAGAUCACCACGGAGCGGCUUAGCGCGGCGCACAAGUCUCGCGAGAGAAGCGGCGGCUGGGCCCUGCAGGCGGAGGAAGUGGAAGAAGUCGCGGGAGGGUAGGGGACCGCGGAACUUCUGGUUGCUAUGACGACGGCAAAGCCCUGGAUUCCUGUCUCCUGCGGAGAGCAGAGGCUGCAAACGCAUCCGCAGACGCCUUUAUACGUACUCCAAAAUGCUAGUAAGGAUGAAGAUGAACUCUCCUCAGCCCGUGUCUUUUAACUGUAGAAACUUUUCUGAGAAAUGAAAAGAGGCUUGCUCAUGACUUGGAAGUGGUGGGCUGAGGCCUCCCAAGACCAUCUGGCUUGUUCCAUUGCCAGCCAGAGUGGAGGCGACAUUCACACGAACCCAGGAGCUGCAGGGGCGCGUGAGCUACAGCUGCCUUGUGGCAUCCAAGGAGUGCGCAACUAGUCUCACUCUGUUGCCCAGGCUGGAGUGCAGUGGCGCGAUCUCAGCUUACUUCAGCCUCCGCCUCCCGGUUUCAAGUGAUUCUCCAGCCUCAACUUCACAAGUAGCUGGGAUUACAGGGCAUUCAAGGAGCCCUGAGGAGAGGUCCACAUGGUGAGCCACUGAGGGCCUUGCCAAGAGCCAGCACCAACGGUCCAGGUUUGGAGUGUACCACCUUGGAAGUGAAUCUUCCAGUCCAGUCAAGCCUUCAGAUGACUUCAGAACCGUCCAUGUAAGCCACUCUUGGAUUCCUGACCCACAGAAACUGUUGGAGGCAUUAUCAACAGUUUGUAACAUCACAGACAGACAAACAUGUGCCUCCUGAUUGAAAAAACGAACAUCACCUGUAGUCUUGCCAGUGAGAUCAAACUGAAGUCCAAUUAACCUCUGGAUCCAGCUGCCAAUUUGCAGGAAAUAGAGGAGAGAAGCAUCUGUUGAACUGCACCAUGAGUAUACACUCAGCAAAGGCCAAACUGUGGAAAAUGAUACAGGUCAAACAGCCUGGAUUCUUUAACAGACGGAGUCUCACUCUGUCACCCAGCCUGAAGUGCAAUGGUACAAUCUCAGCUCACUGCAACCUCCGCCUCCCGAGCUCAAGCAAUUCUCCUGCCUCAGCCUCCUGAAUAGCUGGGAUUACAGGCACGCGCCACCACGCCCAGCUAAUUUUUGUAUUUUUAGUAGAGACGGGGUUUCACCAUGUUGCCCAGGCUGGUCUUGAACUCCUGACCUCAGGUGAUCCACCCACCUCGGCCUCCCAAAGUGCUGGGAUUACAGGCGUGAGCCACCGUGCCUGGCCUUUUGUAUCUGUUUUAUUUUUUAAAUAAUAAGAUUAAAAAUAAAUAUUCUGCAUGAUUAAACAAAUACAGAUUUAAAUUUUUACAGUCCAAUUGAGUGACUUCCUCAUGUUCCAAAACCAGGAAGUAGGUGUGGGACAUCUAUCUCCGUAUUGCAUACACAGUCUGGAUUCUAGUUGUAGACUCCAUAUGGGCUGUCAUACACGCUACUACAGAAAUGAGAGAAAUCCUUGGGAAAUGGAACCGUCUCACACAUGAGAGACAUCUCUGACAACUUAUUCAUAACUGAAUACUUCUCAUUUAUCUUUACCAGUAAGUGAUGUUUCUGAAGCACCAAUGAAAAUGAAGUCCUGAAGUCCUGUGCUCAAUAUGAAAUGUUGGAAGUUAGAAGAAAAAAACAAAACUUGGAUCCAAUCUCAAGGCACUUUUGGUUUAAUGGGAAGAAGUGGAUUAUUUUAAAAGCUACAAAUAAAGUUACAUAAAAGUAGCAAA